rnacentral:lncRNA from 12 species
GGUCAUCCUAGACAUUCCAAAUCUCCACUUGUGGUUGCCAGUGUCCAUAGUGGUAAGAGAGAAUGCCUAUCAGUGUGCUUGCCAAAGAAGAUGAGGUUUAGUGGAAUGAGGAUUCUUUACCACUGAUAAAUAGGGCUCUGAUUCGCUGGGCAUUGACAGAUUUUGAAGGGGGCGUGAGGUGGUCUGAGCUAGCACAAUGCUUCCAGAGGGUGUCUCCUUCCUCCUUCAGUCUGAUGCUGACUUGAAUAUCACAUCAGUACAUAUCCUGUCAAUAAUGUCUUCUAACCUGAAUGAGAAAAGAUAUGGCUUAAAGAUUAGUAAGUGUGUAGCAAGAGAGACUCCUGACUUUGGCAAGAGAAAAGUGGCUGAUUCAGUGGAUCGGAGCCCAGCAUGA